CGUAGGGGGCUAGCGUUGUCCGGAAUCACUGGGCGUAAAGGGUUCGCAGGCGGAAAUGCAAGUCAGGUGUAAAAAGGCAGUAGCUUAACUACUGUAAGCAUUUUGAAACUGCAUAUCUUGAGAAGAGUAGAGGUAAGUGGAAUUUUUUAGUGUAGCGGUGAAAUGCGUAGAUAUUAAAAAGAUACCGGUGGCGAAGGCGACUUACUGGGCUCAUUCUGACGCUGAGGAACGAAGCGUGGUAGCAAACAGGAUU
rnacentral:rRNA from 1 species